rnacentral:lncRNA from 1 species
GGACCUUUUGAUCGCUUAGUAAAUGAUGUCAAAAAAUUAUAAAAUUUGGUUUCUAGAUAGUUCCAAUAGGGUAGAUUAUACCUAACGGACCGAUCGUCGAAUCGGAUACCCUAUCAUCGAAAACAACUUACAAGCACGGAGGUCCCGGUACUUUCAUAUAUAUAUAUAGAGAGAGAGAGAGAUAGAGAGAGAGCUACGCUACUAUACUUUCGAAAGUACAGAGGCCUCCAUACUUGUAAGUUAUUUUCGAUGAUAAGAUAUCUGAUUCGGCGAUCGGUUCCGUUAGACAUGAUCUACGCUAUUAGAACUAUCUAGAAACCAAAUUUCAUAAAUUUUUGACUUUGUUUGUGUAGUGAAUGAGUAACCUCAAAAUAAACAGCUAAAAAUGAAAAUCUCAUAAAAAAUAGUGAUAAAGGACUCAAAUUUCAAAUCGGAAGUAUUGAUCUUGCUAUUGAUGUUAAGUAGAAUUUUCUAUUAAAUUUUCAUGUAAUUAGGAUACUUCUACACCAUUGAACUUAAAAAUGUCCCACAUUGGCCAUUAAAAUAGUCAUUUUUGAGACCUUUUGAUUGCUUAGUAAAUGAUGUCAAAAAAAUUAUAAAAUUUGGUUUCUAGAUAGUUCCAAUAGGGUAGAUUAUACCUAACGGAGCCGAUCAUCGAAUCGGAUGUCCUAUCAUCAAAAACAACUUACAAGUAUAGAGGUCUCCGUACUUUCAAAAGUACAGGAUUAUAUAGAAUUAGGCUACUAUACUAUCUAUAGUACCGGAGCUCCGGUACUAUAGUCUUGUUUUCGAUCUUAGGGUAUUCAAAUUAACGAUCCACACCGUUAAAUAUGAUCUAGGGUAUAUAAAGUUCUUAGGAAUAAAAUUUUAGUUUUUUUCGACAUCGUUUACUUAGUAAUAAAUUAUGUCAAAAUGGACGGUGAAAAUUGAAUAAUCUUUAAAAUUUGAGCAUAGGACUUUUAAAUUNGAUGAUCGGAUCCUUCAAUUUAAGAUCGGAGUUAUUGAUCUUUAUCUAUGUAGUGAAUAUAAUUUUCUAUCAAAAAUUCAACUGAUUUCGAUUCUUUUAUACCAUUAAACUAGCAAAUAUCCCAUACCGGCCGUUAAAAUUUGUCAAUUUUGUGACCUUUGGAUCGUAAGGUAAUGAUGUCGAAAAAUUAUAAAAUUUGAUUUCUAGACGUUUGAAAUGCUUUACAUAAUAUUUAACUGUGUGGAUCGUCGAUUCGGAAGCUUUAUCAUCGAAAACAACUUAUGAGUACGAGGGCUAUCGUACUCAUAAGAGUAUAAUUAGGGAUGUAAAUGGAUACGGAUACCCGAAUUUUAUCCGAAUCCAAACCCGAACGGGACGGAUUUUAUCCGAUGUAAAUGGAUAUGGAUUUGGAUAUGGAUAUAAAAAAUAAAAACCCGACGGAUAUGGAUUCGGAUAUGGAUAUUGACUGUAUCCGA